rnacentral:rRNA from 1 species
GACGGAGGAUGCAAGCGUUAUCCGGAAUGAUUGGGCGUAAAGCGUCCGCAGGUGGCAGUUCAAGUCUGCUGUCAAAGACCGGGGCUUAACUUCGGAAAGGCAGUGGAAACUGAACAGCUAGAGUAUGGUAGGGGCAGAGGGAAUUCCUGGUGUAGCGGUGAAAUGCGUAGAUAUCGUAAGGAAGACCAGUGGCGAAGGCGGGUCUCUGGACAGUUCCUGACGCUGAGGCACGAAGGUCAGGGGAGCAAACGGG